rnacentral:rRNA from 1 species
UAAGACGAACCACACGAACGUUAUUCGGAAUUACUGGGCUUAAAGGGUGCGUAGGCGGCGUGGCAAGUUGGGUGUGAAAUACCUCGGCUCAACCGAGGAAUGGCGCUCAAAACUGCCGCGCUUGAGGGAGAUAGAGGUGAGCGGAACUUAAGGUGGAGCGGUGAAAUGCGUUGAUAUCUUAAGGAACACCCGUGGCGAAAGCGGCUCACUGGAUCUCUUCUGACGCUCAUGCACGAAAGCCAGGGGAGCGAACGGGAUUAGAUACCCCGGUAGUCCUGGCCGUAAACGAUGAGCACUGGGUUGGAGGCUCCUCCAUAGGCUUCCGGCCGCAGCGAAAGUGUUAAGUGCUCCGCCUGGGGAGUAUGGUCGCAAGGCUG